GCAAUUUUUUUUUUUUUUUUUUUUUUUUUUUGACAAGGUGAUAAUCUGAAAAGGGAAAUUUUCCUGAUUUGUAAGUACAGUACUGAUGAACACAUGUAAAGUCAUAAUGAAUCUGAGAAAUAUCACAUGAAAAAAAGAACAAAUGAAGGAAGAUUAAACUCUUCAUGAAAAUCAUCCCCUAAUUUUUUUUUUUUUCUCAUUCCAGUGUUUUUCAUAGUGUCAAUCAGGGUAAACAAUUUGAUUUGCCAAAAUAGGAAACCAAUUACAAAUAAGAUGCUAAGCAAACCUUUUUGGGGGGAAGAGAUUUAAAAAGUUUUUAAAGGAGAAAAUGACUAAUUUUUAAUUCUACUUUAUUUUCAUUUUAGAUUGAGAUUUCAGAAAGGUGUUCAAAUCAUGCUCCUCCUCCACAGUAUCUCUGUAUGGGGAUUGCAUAGUGCAGAUAUUACACCUCCAUAUGAAGGUCCAGUUGCAAGGAAACCUUGAGCUCUCGGGUGUCACCUCACUGUUCCUUUAAUAGGAGAUCGAAUGUCCUAAGAAAGGAACAAAUUUUAGUCACCAAAUAAUAUUUUCGUAUUUGACCAAGCUGAGAAAGGUUUUGGGUUUUAUAUUCAUAUAUUGAAUAAUAAUGCUUAAACUCUUUAUUUUGAUUGAAACAUGAAGUAAAAAGUUGUUAAAAUAGAGAUUCUCUAAAGAAAAACAAAGAAUUUUUAUCCUGAUAUAAACAUUUUGACAGGCUGGGAGGAUAUUAAUGUUUUGGUGAAUUGAGGUUUAGUAUGAUGCUAUACUUAUCAAAUCUGUGUCUAAUAACUCAGAAGGUAAAAUGUACCUCUUGCACCAAUUACUUUUUCUAGAACUGAUUUUAUUAGUUGUGUGUCAGUUUAAUUAUUUCUGCCAUGAACACAAGGUUGACGAAGAAAUGUACCUUGCUUUUUCACCCAUUUUUCAAUACCUGGAAGCUACUUAGGGUGCUGGCAUUUCUCACACCUACCUUGAAUCCCUGUCUCAGUGCUCAAGGAUUACUGAGAGGCAGCAAUGCAUGUUAUUCCACCAAAACAACACCACAAUUCCUUGAGCCCCAGGCCAAAGUGAAUUGA
rnacentral:lncRNA from 1 species